rnacentral:rRNA from 1 species
GUGGGGAAUAUUGCACAAUGGGGGAAACCCUGAUGCAGCAACGCCGCGUGAGUGAUGACGGCCUUCGGGUUGUAAAGCUCUGUCUUCAGGGACGAUAAUGACGGUACCUGAGGAGGAAGCCACGGCUAACUACGUGCCAGCAGCCGCGGUAAUACGUAGGUGGCAAGCGUUGUCCGGAUUUACUGGGCGUAAAGGGAGCGUAGGCGGACUUUUAAGUGAGAUGUGAAAUACCCGGGCUCAACCUGGGUGCUGCAUUUCAAACUGGAAGUCUAGAGUGCAGGAGAGGAGAGUGGAAUUCCUAGUGUAGCGGUGAAAUGCGUAGAGAUUAGGAAGAACACCAGUGGCGAAGGCGACUCUCUGGACUGUAACUGACGCUGAGGCUCGAAAGCGUGGGGAGCAAAC